rnacentral:rRNA from 1 species
GACGAACGCUGGCGGCGUGCUUAACACAUGCAAGUCGAACGGAAAGGCCCUGCUUUUGUGGGGUGCUCGAGUGGCGAACGGGUGAGUAACACGUGAGUAACCUGCCCUUGACCUUGGGAUAACUUCAGGAAACUGGGGCUAAUACCGGAUAGGAGCUCCUGCUGCAUGGUGGGGGUUGGAAAGUUUCGGCGGUUGGGGAUGGACUCGCGGCUUAUCAGCUUGUUGGUGGGGUAGUGGCUUACCAAGGCUUUGACGGGUAGCCGGCCUGAGAGGGUGACCGGCCACAUUGGGACUGAGAUACGGCCCAGACUCCUACGGGAGGCAGCAGUGGGUAAUAUUGCACAAUGGGCGGAAGCCUGAUGCAGCAACGCCGCGUGCGGGAUAACGGCCUUCGGGUUGUAAACCGCUUUCGCCUGUGACGAAGCGUGAGUGACGGUAAUGGGUAAAGAAGCACCGGCUAACUACGU